CCUACGGGGGGCUGCAGUGGGGAAUAUUGGACAAUGGGCGAAAGCCUGAUCCAGCCAUGCCACGUGUGUGAAGAAGGCCUUCGGGUUGUAAAGCACUUUCAGUGGGGAAGAAAGCCUUGGGGCUAAUACCCUCGAGGAAGGACAUCACCCACAGAAGAAGCACCGGCUAACUCCGUGCCAGCAGCCGCGGUAAUACGGAGGGUGCGAGCGUUAAUCGGAAUUACUGGGCGUAAAGCGCGCGUAGGCGGUCUGAUAAGCCGGUUGUGAAAGCCCCGGGCUCAACCUGGGAACGGCAUCCGGAACUGUCAGGCUAGAGUGCAGGAGAGGAAGGUAGAAUUCCCGGUGUAGCGGUGAAAUGCGUAGAGAUCGGGAGGAAUACCAGUGGCGAAGGCGGCCUUCUGGACUGACACUGACGCUGAGGUGCGAAAGCGUGGGUAGCAAACAGGAUUAGAUACCCCUUAGUC
rnacentral:rRNA from 1 species